rnacentral:rRNA from 1 species
AUUGAACGCUGGCGGCAGGCCUAACACAUGCAAGUCGAACGAGUGGCGGACGGGUGAGUAAUGUCUGGGAAACUGCCUGAUGGAGGGGGAUAACUACUGGGAACGGUAGCUAAUACCGCAUACCAUCGAAUGUGCCCAGAUGGGAUUAGCUAGUAUGUGGGGUAAAGUCUCACCUAGGCGACGAUCCCUAGCUGGUCUGAAAGGAUGACCAGCCACACGGUAAUUGAGACACGGUACAGACUCCUACGUGAGGCAGCAGUGGGGAAUAUUGCACAAUGGGCGCAAGCCUGAUGCAGCCAGGCCGCGUGUAUGAAGAAGGCCUUCGGGUUUCAAAGUACUUUCAGCUGGGAGGCGUUACCAGCAGAAUAAGCACCGGCUAACUCCGUGCCAGCAGCCGCGGUAAUUC